AUUGAACGCUGGCGGCAUGCCUUACACAUGCAAGUCGAACGGCAGCACGGGAGCUUGCUCCUGGUGGCGAGUGGCGAACGGGUGAGUAAUACAUCGGAACGUACCCUGAAGUGGGGGAUAACGUAGCGAAAGUUACGCUAAUACCGCAUAUUCUGUGAGCAGGAAAGAGGGGGAUCGCAAGACCUCUUGCUUUAGGAGCGGCCGAUGUCGGAUUAGCUAGUUGGUGAGGUAAAGGCUCACCAAGGCGACGAUCCGUAGCGGGUCUGAGAGGAUGAUCCGCCACACUGGGACUGAGACACGGCCCAGACUCUACGGAGGC
rnacentral:rRNA from 1 species